GGGUUGUGAGGUUAAGCGACUAAGCGUACACGGUGGAUGCCCUGGCAGUCAGAGGCGAUGAAGGACGUGCUAAUCUGCGAUAAGCGUCGGUGAGGUGAUAUGAACCGUUAUAACCGGCGAUUUCCGAAUGGGGAAACCCAGUGUGUUUCGACACACUAUCAUUAACUGAAUCCAUAGGUUAAUGAGGCGAACCGGGGGAACUGAAACAUCUAAGUACCCCGAGGAAAAGAAAUCAACCGAGAUUCCCCCAGUAGCGGCGAGCGAACGGGGAGGAGCCCAGAGCCUGAAUCAGUGUGUGUGUUAGUGGAAGCGUCUGGAAAGGCGCGCGAUACAGGGUGACAGCCCCGUACACAAAAAUGCACAUAUUGUGAGCUCGAUGAGUAGGGCGGGACACGUGGUAUCCUGUCUGAAUAUGGGGGGACCAUCCUCCAAGGCUAAAUACUCCUGACUGACCGAUAGUGAACCAGUACCGUGAGGGAAAGGCGAAAAGAACCCCGGCGAGGGGAGUGAAAAAGAACCUGAAACCGUGUACGUACAAGCAGUGGGAGCCUCUUAAUGGGGUGACUGCGUACCUUUUGUAUAAUGGGUCAGCGACUUAUAUUCUGUAGCAAGGUUAACCGAAUAGGGGAGCCGAAGGGAAACCGAGUCUUAACUGGGCGUUAAGUUGCAGGGUAUAGACCCGAAACCCGGUGAUCUAGCCAUGGGCAGGUUGAAGGUUGGGUAACACUAACUGGAGGACCGAACCGACUAAUGUUGAAAAAUUAGCGGAUGACUUGUGGCUGGGGGUGAAAGGCCAAUCAAACCGGGAGAUAGCUGGUUCUCCCCGAAAGCUAUUUAGGUAGCGCCUCGUGAAUUCAUCUCCGGGGGUAGAGCACUGUUUCGGCAAGGGGGUCAUCCCGACUUACCAACCCGAUGCAAACUGCGAAUACCGGAGAAUGUUAUCACGGGAGACACACGGCGGGUGCUAACGUCCGUCGUGAAGAGGGAAACAACCCAGACCGCCAGCUAAGGUCCCAAAGUCAUGGUUAAGUGGGAAACGAUGUGGGAAGGCCCAGACAGCCAGGAUGUUGGCUUAGAAGCAGCCAUCAUUUAAAGAAAGCGUAAUAGCUCACUGGUCGAGUCGGCCUGCGCGGAAGAUGUAACGGGGCUAAACCAUGCACCGAAGCUGCGGCAGCGACACUAUGUGUUGUUGGGUAGGGGAGCGUUCUGUAAGCCUGUGAAGGUGUACUGUGAGGGUUGCUGGAGGUAUCAGAAGUGCGAAUGCUGACAUAAGUAACGAUAAAGCGGGUGAAAAGCCCGCUCGCCGGAAGACCAAGGGUUCCUGUCCAACGUUAAUCGGGGCAGGGUGAGUCGACCCCUAAGGCGAGGCCGAAAGGCGUAGUCGAUGGGAAACAGGUUAAUAUUCCUGUACUUGGUGUUACUGCGAAGGGGGGACGGAGAAGGCUAUGUUGGCCGGGCGACGGUUGUCCCGGUUUAAGCGUGUAGGCUGGUUUUCCAGGCAAAUCCGGAAAAUCAAGGCUGAGGCGUGAUGACGAGGCACUACGGUGCUGAAGCGACAAAUGCCCUGCUUCCAGGAAAAGCCUCUAAGCAUCAGGUAACAUCAAAUCGUACCCCAAACCGACACAGGUGGUCAGGUAGAGAAUACCAAGGCGCUUGAGAGAACUCGGGUGAAGGAACUAGGCAAAAUGGUGCCGUAACUUCGGGAGAAGGCACGCUGAUAUGUAGGUGAAGCGACUUGCUCGUGGAGCUGAAAUCAGUCGAAGAUACCAGCUGGCUGCAACUGUUUAUUAAAAACACAGCACUGUGCAAACACGAAAGUGGACGUAUACGGUGUGACGCCUGCCCGGUGCCGGAAGGUUAAUUGAUGGGGUUAGCGGUAACGCGAAGCUCUUGAUCGAAGCCCCGGUAAACGGCGGCCGUAACUAUAACGGUCCUAAGGUAGCGAAAUUCCUUGUCGGGUAAGUUCCGACCUGCACGAAUGGCGUAAUGAUGGCCAGGCUGUCUCCACCCGAGACUCAGUGAAAUUGAACUCGCUGUGAAGAUGCAGUGUACCCGCGGCAAGACGGAAAGACCCCGUGAACCUUUACUAUAGCUUGACACUGAACAUUGAGCCUUGAUGUGUAGGAUAGGUGGGAGGCUUUGAAGUGUGGACGCCAGUCUGCAUGGAGCCGACCUUGAAAUACCACCCUUUAAUGUUUGAUGUUCUAACGUGGGCCCCUUACCGGGGUUGCGGACAGUGUCUGGUGGGUAGUUUGACUGGGGCGGUCUCCUCCUAAAGAGUAACGGAGGAGCACGAAGGUUGGCUAAUCCUGGUCGGACAUCAGGAGGUUAGUGCAAUGGCAUAAGCCAGCUUGACUGCGAGCGUGACGGCGCGAGCAGGUGCGAAAGCAGGUCAUAGUGAUCCGGUGGUUCUGAAUGGAAGGGCCAUCGCUCAACGGAUAAAAGGUACUCCGGGGAUAACAGGCUGAUACCGCCCAAGAGUUCAUAUCGACGGCGGUGUUUGGCACCUCGAUGUCGGCUCAUCACAUCCUGGGGCUGAAGUAGGUCCCAAGGGUAUGGCUGUUCGCCAUUUAAAGUGGUACGCGAGCUGGGUUUAGAACGUCGUGAGACAGUUCGGUCCCUAUCUGCCGUGGGCGCUGGAGAACUGAGGGGGGCUGCUCCUAGUACGAGAGGACCGGAGUGGACGCAUCACUGGUGUUCGGGUUGUCAUGCCAAUGGCACUGCCCGGUAGCUAAAUGCGGAAGAGAUAAGUGCUGAAAGCAUCUAAGCACGAAACUUGCCCCGAGAUGAGUUCUCCCUGACUCCUUGAGAGUCCUGAAGGAACGUUGAAGACGACGACGUUGAUAGGCCGGGUGUGUAAGCGCAGCGAUGCGUUGAGCUAACCGGUACUAAUGAACCGUGAGGCUUAACCUUACAACGCCGAAG
rnacentral:rRNA from 1 species